rnacentral:rRNA from 1 species
UACGAAGGGGGCUAGCGUUGCUCGGAAUUACUGGGCGUAAAGGGAGCGUAGGCGGAUAGUUCAGUCAGAGGUGAAAGCCCAGGGCUCAACCUUGGAACUGCCUUUGAUACUGGCUGUCUUGAGUAUGGGAGAGGUUAGCGGAACUCCGAGUGUAGAGGUGAAAUUCGUAGAUAUUCGGAAGAACACCAGUGGCGAAGGCGGCUAACUGGCCCAUUACUGACGCUGAGGCUCGAAAGCGUGGGGAGCAA